rnacentral:rRNA from 1 species
GACGAACGCUGGCGGCGUGCUUAACACAUGCAAGUCGAACGGAAAGGCCCUGCUUUUGUGGGGUGCUCGAGUGGCGAACGGGUGAGUAACACGUGAGUAACCUGCCCUUGACUUUGGGAUAACUUCAGGAAACUGGGGCUAAUACCGGAUAGGAGCUCCUGCUGCAUGGUGGGGGUUGGAAAGUUUCGGCGGUUGGGGAUGGACUCGCGGCUUAUCAGCUUGUUGGUGGGGUAGUGGCUUACCAAGGCUUUGACGGGUAGCCGGCCUGAGAGGGUGACCGGCCACAAUGGGACUGAGGGACGGCCCAGACUCCUACGGGAGGCAGCAGUGGGGAAUAUUGCACAAUGGGCGGGAGCCUGAUGCAGCAACGCCGCGUGCGGGAUGACGGCUUUCGGGUUGUAAACCGCUUUCGCCUGUGACGAAGCGUGAGUGACGGUAAUGGGUAAAGAAGCACCGGCUAACUACGUG